UUAUUUUCGCGACUUUUGUGAGUAGAAAAAUAACGCGAAUAUAAAUCGUCGUGAAAAUGUAAAGCUUGGAUCUUUCAUUAUUAAACUACAUCAGGUAAAUUACAAAAUCGCGAAAUUAAAUUGGCACGAAGUGGACAAGAAAGGCUGAAACGCGAAAUAAAGUAUCUGCGAAAAUUAGUUGGUUUACAGUAAGUCAUUUUAAUAAUCAUGAUACAUGCAUGAUCAUGUACUUUGAAAUUUGAAGUUAUUCAUAUAAUUACACCAAAAGUCUUGUUAUUGGCUUUGAACUAGCUGUUGGUACAUGUAACUCAGGGAGUACUCUCAGAUAUGUACUUAGUCUUUUUUGUUAAGGGGAUGUGUAAGAUGUCUUUCUGCUUUGUUUAGAUUGAUGAGUUAGGCCUUGUUCACAAUAAUAUCCCCAGAUAGAUGGGUUUGGCAUCACAAAACUACUAGUCUAGCCCCAUCACAUUCUGUACAUGAGUAUCAGCCUGUAAUUCAGUGGUUUGGUUUGUUGCUGUAUAUCAUAUUUUGUUUUUUUGUUCUUUUUUUGUACAUAAAUUAGUCUAGUUAGUUUUCUUGUUUGAAAUGUUUUACAAAUUUAUCAUUUUCAUUUGGGAUCUUUUAUAGCGGACUAUUAGAUACAUGGGCUUUGCUCAUUGUUGAAGGAUGUAAGGUGACCUAUAGUCAUGAUAGCUGUUAACUUCUAUUUAAUCUCUGGUGAAGAGUUGUCUUUUCUCAUUAGUGUAAACAAUAUUGUAUUUUGAAAAUAAUGUAAACAUUACAAUAUCAUGUGAAUCUUGACAGUUUUAUUAGGAUUGGAAAACAAGUGAAUUUUCAUUUGUACAAAUUUCUCUCUUUUCUCAUUGGCAAUCAUACCACCUUUUCUUAUUUAUAUAUUUACAUUACAUACUAUUAAAUAGACCUUUCAUCUCCUCCAGGGGUCCACUUCCCAUGUACAACACAUAUA
rnacentral:lncRNA from 1 species